AUUAAGCACUCCCGCCUGGGGAAGUACGACCGCAAGGUUGAAACUCAAAGGAAUUGACGGGGGCCCGCACAAGCGGUGGAGCAUGUGGUUUAAUUCGAAGCAACGCGAAGAACCUUACCAGGUCUUGACAUCCUUUGACCACUCUAGAGAUAGAGCUUCCCCUUCGGGGGCAAAGUGACAGGUGGUGCAUGGUUGUCGUCAGCUCGUGUCGUGAGAUGUUGGGUUAAGUCCCGCAACGAGCGCAACCCUUAUUGUUAGUUGCCAUCAUUUAGUUGGGCACUCUAGCAAGACUGCCGGUGACAAACCGGAGGAAGGUGGGGAUGACGUCAAAUCAUCAUGCCCCUUAUGACCUGGGCUACACACGUGCUACAAUGGGAAGUACAACGAGUCGCAAAGUCGCGAGGCUAAGCUAAUCUCUUAAAGCUUCUCUCAGUUCGGAUUGUAGGCUGCAACUCGCCUACAUGAAGCCGGAAUCGCUAGUAAUCGCGGAUCAGCACGCCGCGGUGAAUACGUUCCCGGGCCUUGUACACACCGCCCGUCACACCACGAGAGUUUGUAACACCCGAAGUCGGUGAGGUAACCUUUGGAGCCAGCCGCCUAAGGUGGGAUAGAUGAUUGGGGUGAAGUCGUAACAAGGUAACCGU
rnacentral:rRNA from 1 species